rnacentral:rRNA from 1 species
GCUCAACCGUGGAGGGUCAUUGGAAACUGGGAAACUUGAGUGCAGAAGAGGAAAGUGGAAUUCCAUGGGUAGCGGUGAAAUGGGCAGAGAUAUGGAGGAACACCAGUGGCGAAGGCGACUCUCUGGUCCGUAACUGACGCUGAUGUGCGAAAGCGUGGGGAUCAAACAGGAUUAGAUACCCUGGUAGUCCACGCCGUAAACGAUGAGUGCUAAGUGUUAGGGGGUUUCCGCCCCUUAGUGCUGCAGCUAACGCAUUAAGCACUCCGCCUGGGGAGUACGACCGCAAGGUUGAAACUCAAAGGAAUUGACGGGGACCCGCACAAGCGGUGGAGCAUGUGAUUUAAUUCGAAGCAACGCGAAGAACCUUACCAAAUCUUGACAUCCUUUGACCGCUCUAGAGAUAGAGUCUUCCCCUUCGGGGGACAAAGUGACAGGUGGUGCAUGGUUGUCGUCAGCUCGUGUCGUGAGAUGUUGGGUUAAGUCCCGCAACGAGCGCAACCCUUAAGCUUAGUUGCCAUCAUUAAGUUGGGCACUCUAGGUUGACUGCCGGUGACAAACCGGAGGAAGGUGGGGAUGACGUCAAAUCAUCAUGCCCCUUAUGAUUUGGGCUACACACGUGCUACAAUGGAUAAUACAAAG